AAGGAGAACUCUCCAGUACGUUCAUGCCUGGGGGGGAAAGAGAAGUCGGUGAGAAGGCAGCAGAAGACCCUGAGACAUACAUACAAGGUCCAGCAGCUGCAGCAUAGGGUCAGAGGUCAACACCUAUUUCUAGGACACAGACAUUUAGAUGGAUAUGGUCAGCAGCAGCAGAUGUACUGGCUGGGAUAAAAGGACUAUCAAACCUCUUGCUCCGGGCAUAUGCUGAUCACCAGCUGCGGUCAGGAAGAAAUGGCUCCCAGGGUACACAGCCCUGUGCAAUUACCACAGGACAGAGGUCCCAAGGCAGUGGGCAGGAACCCAUCGAGCUCCUACCCUGCACCUUCAGACCCACACCUGGCCCCUGCCAUCUCCUUCUUGCUCUUCCAGAAGUGGUCCUGGGGCAGUGGGAAUCCUCCUGGCACCACUGUCCUGCACAGCCACAAGUCUCCAGCCCACACAUUACCCAAGCCCUCUG